GUAAGUUUGAGAAGGGAUGUUGGGAUGUGUGCCCUACUGCCACCGCCGAACAGCCUCUCCACCAGGUGGCGCUCCCCUCUUGGUUCCUGCCAUGAAAAAGCUUCAAAAGUCAGGCCAGAACAACUAGGGUGUUGACUUCCUUGAGCCCAAUUUGGGCAGCUGGGGCCAUUUCUGAGUGGAUGAAGAGUGGUAACUGUAUUCCUACAAUUACCAUGGUCCCCCAUCACAUUAACCUGAUUGUGGAAACAUGUCUGGUCUACUCUGCUUAAUCAUAUCAACAUACCAAAGAAGGAUCGUCCGUACAUGAGCUUCUGGAUGUACACAGGAGGAAAUUGCACAAGCACAGCAUGGGGCCAUGGGAUAGCCACAUCGUCAGAAAGACCUGGCUGAGCAGUGACACCAUGAAUAAGACUCUCACACUGAAGAGCUGUAAGCGGACCUUUAGCUGUGCCCAAGGCUCUCAGACGGUGAGAAGUGAGGCUUUAAAUCUACUGUUUUGCUUGGAGUCAAAGCCGUGUUUACUACCUUGGAGCAGCACAUUUCGGCCUGCUGAUAUAAGAAGCAUUCAGGUUUGGUUUUAUACAUGGUAAGUCACAUGCACAUCUUUUAAAGUCUUUGGAGACAGGUCACAUCCAUACACAGGUAGUCUGAAUUAGCAUAAUCCACCAGGUUUUACAGUUCUCAAUCAGGAUAUAUGGCUAAACAGGAGCCUAUAACGUUCUAAAACAUGUCAGUAAUUAUCUAGCCCUUGUCAAG
rnacentral:lncRNA from 1 species